rnacentral:rRNA from 1 species
UUCGGGAACUGGGCAGCGGCGGACGGGUGAGUAACGCGUGGGAAUAUACCUUUUGGUGGGGGACAACAGUUGGAAACGACUGCUAAUACCGCAUACGCCCUUCGGGGGAAAGAUUCAUCGCUGAUAGAUGGGCCCGCGUUAGAUUAGCUAGAUGGUGAGGUAAUGGCUCACCAUGGCGACGAUCUAUAGCUGGUUUGAGAGGAUGACCAGCCACACUGGGACUGAGACACGGCCCAGACUCC